AUCCCAUAAAUCACCGAAGUCAAGCAUCAUUGGGCGCGGUCAGUACUUGGGUGGGUGACCACCUGGGAACACCGCGUGCCGUUG